rnacentral:lncRNA from 1 species
UCAUCCACACGCCGCUCCACCGCUCUACAUAUACUUAUAAAAGGCUCCAUCUCCGCCUCGCUUUCUCCCCUACCCGAAAAUUGCUUCACGGCAACCCUCCUUUCCAUGGUGCAUCAGUGCCUUGUUGCUGUAUGAUUAAUUGGCUGUCGAUGUCGCGGUCGCUUUGAGAUGGAUGCUGCGCCGUGCUGGACGCCUGCGGGGGUGAGCCGCUGCCAGGCCGAAUGCCAUCGACGUCGUGCCGCUGGAGGGCAUCGUGGCUGCGCUCGCCUGCAGGGCCACAGGUAGCCAGGCCAGACGGCGCCGCUGUGUUGGUAUGCAGCAGCGGCACCGUGCUGUCUGCCUAGGUAUUCGUUCUCUUCCUCCAUCAUUUAUGCCUUGCUCUACUCUUAGGUAGGUCUGUAUUAGGCAGUGUUUCUUCUAUGAAGAACUGUGUACUGGUGAUAAUAGUGUGAGACUGUUAUUUACCCGUUACUUUUUUUGUGCGCUGGUUGGUGUGUGUGCGAUCUUAAGUGCAGAGCGUUUGUCAUUCACUGUAAAAAAAAUUGGGUGCAUUUAGAGUGUCUGAGUUUCUUUUAGGUUCUGCUCAUUUCUUUCCUAGAUAAUAAUGAUAACUAGAUGACUCUGCUACAUUCAUACUCGAUUUUCUGGCUAGGUGUUGUCUUCCUCGACUUCCGUCGCUCCGGGUCUGCAUCUAGCGCCGCGUUUUCGACCUCUCCGACUAAGCCACACGGUUGCCACCCACAUGCACCGCUCAGGCACUCCCAGUCCAGCCUCGGUGGUUAACCGGCUGCUCUGCGGUUCCCCCAUUGAGGGAGGGGGUUAACUUUGUUUGAUUCUAUUUUCUCUGGUUCACCCUCACGGCUGCGCUUCUUUCUCUGUCGCGGCAAGAGUCGCCGUUCAGGGACGUUACAUGGAUCUGGGUGCCAGAGCAGGUCGGGGCAUGGAGGCCUGUGAUCAAUAAUGCUAAACAUAGGAAGGUUUACAUGCUUUUACACGCUGACUAUGGUUUUUUUAAACAAACUAACCUCCUGAUUUUCAUGGGGUGGGGCCCCUUCUCCCGUUUAAUCUUCAAUCAAAACCCACCUUUAUGUAAAAACAUAUAGCCUUUCGUAUAUGUAGCAUUACCCGGCCUGUGAUGGACAUCGUGCAUGCAAAGGGCGGGCAGCAGCCAGUAGGUUAGCCCGCUUCGACGGCUGACAUCGACGAGGAGGCAGGGCUCCGAGGAGAUGUCCAACGUCAUUGACAGGUUCGGACGUGCCGACUAGAGCGUCGUCGAAGCCCGUACGUGCAAGCACGUGCGCACGAAAAUGCUGCUUCGGUCAGUAUUCUGGCCUUUGCUGCACUCACGCCUUGCCAUGGCAGUCCUUGACGGUGUGAAGAUUCUUGGUGCCAAAGGCUACUUCCUGGAUGAUGAACACGAUCGCAAAGAAGCCAGGCGGCCGGUGGAGGUUCGCAGGUGAUGGAUGCCGGCUGGUGCAUGCGUCCAGGACGUGGUCACCAGGUGGGCAUGCGGCUGCAGCAGUAUAGUUCACGACUGAGCCCUCCAAAUGAGCACGCGCUGGUGCUACGCGUCGUGAGCCUUCUCAACGGCCACGGCGUGAUCUUUUUUUUUUUUUUGAGGGGAAAGAUCGCCGCUUUAUUAACUAAGUGUAGCUCGGAAUGUCAUCCGAAAUUACAUCCAAGAUGCAGUCUGGGGGAACCCCCAACCAAACCUUACACAAUUCAUCCCCUACCCCUACUCUUGCUAAUUUAUGCGCGGCAACAUUACCCGUGCGUCUAACCCACGUCACUUUGUACUGAUCCUUCGUCUCCAGCAUGUGUUUGAUUUCCUGAAUCCAUGGUCCCAGUCCCGAAUAAUUGAUGCCCUUCUGGUUGAUCAUUUGCACCACCGGCAAACAAUCCAGCUCCAAAUGGACGUUCUGUACAUUGAUCUCCUCUGCAACCUGCAGCGCUCUUCUACACGCCAAAAUCUCCGCUGCUUCAGGCUCCAGAAUGUGUGGAAAAAGAUGGCACACUCCGGCCAGAAAUGCCCCAUUAUGGUCCCGAAGCACAGCUCCACCGCCAACCUUACUCCCUCCUUUAUGCACUGCACCAUCUGAAUUAAUCUUCACCCAUCCAACUUCAGGUGCUUCCAAGGUUUUGGUUACCGAAUGAGGUAAUUUUACCGAGGGGGACUGAUAAAUGUGGUUACCACGGUUACCGAGAAAUAUUUCGAGCGAAUUUUAUAGUUGAAUUUUGAAUUCAAAUAAGAAAAUGAACGAAUAUUCAAACCAGAGACCUCUCAAAACAGGAACUAGGUUGCUACCAACAUGCCAUAACCAAUUUUCAUUGCAUUAAUUAGACCCUACAUACCUUACUGUAAAUCGAGUGUUUAAAUUCAAAAAUUUCAAAAAAAUGGUAUUUUUUGCUCGGUAUGACGAUUUACCGAGGGGCACGAAAAUACGUGGUAACCAUGGGAAAUCUUGAAAUUUCGACUGGUAACCAAAACCUUGGGUGCUUCCCACUUUUGUGGCAGAUCCGUCCUUUCUGGCCUCUCCCUGAUUUGAUGCACGCUGUUCCAUUCCGCCAUGUGAGAGCAAACUGACUCCAUUAUUUCAUGUGGUUGAUCAAUCCUCUUCCCAUCUCUUGCUGCAUUCCUAGCGAGCCAUAGUCCAUAAGUGGCCUGAAUCAUUGCCUCCCGCUCGUCCCCGUCAGCAGCAGCAAACCAUUCAACGAGCCAGCGAGAUAGCUCACCAUGAUUGUCCGACGGAGCCGGUGGAAUUGCCACAGAGACGCCCUUCUCCUCCCGCAGCAACUUCUAGAAGUGGACAGAGUGUGGACACGCCCAAAAAUGGUGGUAUAUGGUUUCCUCUCGACCAGAUGCCACGCAAAAAACUCCUGGUUCAAUUCUUCUGCGAUGAAGCUCGACGCCAGCCGCCAGUCCGUUCUUAAUCAUACGCCACAUAUGGAUUUUUGCCUUCUGCGGUGCCCUCGUUUCCCACAAGGCCAUAUUGCCUUUGUGCCUUUGGACUGAGCUCGAGCCCUCUUGCUGGCCCCUCAUGGCUCUCCUCCUUGACACCCAAAGAUGGUAGGCAGAUUUGACGCUGAAAAUCCCAUUCUUAGUGUAAUUCCAUGCUAGGUAGUCCUCCGUUCCCGGGCCUCCAACUGCAAUUUGCUGGAUAUCGACACGGUCAGAAUCCGAGAACAUUGCUUCAAGUUUUCCUACAUCCCAGCACGUUCCAUCCUGAGUCAGGAGAUCUGAAACCCUCGUGAUCCCCUGUAUGUACCGUUGACCCAGUGUCCUUAGGUACCCUUGACUCGGUAUCCAGUUGUCAUGGUGAAUAUUCACUCGUGAGCCGUCGCCCACCCUCCACACAAGGCCUUCUCUCAACAGGUCUCGACCAUGUAAAAUGCUACGGUACGUGAAAGACGAGUUUGACGGAAUUGUAGCUGACAUAAUUGAUUCUUCUUUGAAGUACCUUGCCUUGAGCACCCUAGCACACAAAGAAGAUGGAGUAGUCAGGAUCCGCCAUGCUUGUUUCGCCAAGAGAGCUUGGUUGAAACCUUCAUGAUUACGAAAACCAAGUCCUCCGUCUCCCAUAGAUGCACACAUCUUUUCCCAGGAGAUCCAAUGAAGCUUCUUUUCACCAUCAAUUGCACCCCACCAGAAUUUCGAAGAGAUAGAAGUUAGAUUCCUGUAUAUCUUCUUUGUGAGGUGAAAACAACUCAUAGUGAAAGUCGGGAUUGAUUGUAGUCCUGAUUUAACUAGCACUUCCUUCGUCGCCUUCGAUAAACCUUGGCCUUUCCAACCUGUCACCUUUCCCUUUGAACUUUCUGUUAGAUAUUUGAACGUACCAUCUUUAGACUUACCAACCAGUGUUGGUAGUCCAAGGUAAUGCUCACUCAACGCUUCAGACUCGAUCCCAAUGGAUUGCUUAGGUCAGAUUUAGUCUCAUCGUUACAUCCUUUCCCAAAAAAUAUAGAGGACUUCUGCAAAUUCACCUUCUGUCCGGAGGCCUCCUCAUAGACCGCCAAAAUAUUUUUAAGAACCGUCAUGCUUUCCGUUGUUCCUUUCAGAAAUACAAUGCUAUCAUCUGCAAACAGUAGAUGUGUGACAUGGGGGCCAGUGCUCCCAAAAGCCACUCAUUUUAAAGCGUUGUCUUGCUGAGCUUUCCUCAAUAAGGCCGAGAACCCUUCAACACAAAAGAGGAAUAAAUACGGCGACAAUGGAUCCCCUUGCCUAUGUCCCCGGGCAGGUGUGAACUCCCUCGAAUAGCCUCCAUUUAGCUUAACUAAGAACCUGGUGGACUUAAUGCAUCUCAUAAUCAUGGCUAUCCAUAAAGGGUCAAAACCGAAUCGAGCUAGAGUCUGUUCCAAAAAAGCUCACUCGACUCUAUCAUACGCCUUCAUCAUAUCCAGCUUCACCGCACAUAAGCAUUUCUUCCUUCUUCUCGUUCGGAUGGCGUGAACACAUUCAUAUGUAACCAAGACAUUAUCCGUGAUAAGUCGACCAGGAACAAAAGCACUUUGCUCCUCCGAGAUGAGAAUUGGAAGAAUGACUUUCAAUCUAUUAGCCAGUACCUUAGUUGCAAUCUUGUACAGCACGUUGCAAAGGCUUAUCGGUCUAAACUGAGAAAGUAACUCCGGUGAGUUCACCUUCGGGAUCAUGACCAAAACCGUAUCAUUAACGUUUCCGGGGUGGCUGCACCGUUCAGAAAAUCUCGCACCGCUGCGCAAACCUCAUUUCUAACUAGCGACCAGUGUCGCUGGUAGAAAAGUGCUGGCAGCCCAUCCGGACCUGGUGACUUAGUAGGGCCCAUCUAGAAUAGGGUUGCCUUUAUCUCGUCGUCGGAGAACGGCCUCGUCAACUUGGCAUUCAUGUCCUCCGUCAACACAUGUGCAACAUUCUGCAAUAAGCUAUUGGCACCACGUGACCCUUCUGAUGUGAACAAAGACUCAUAGAAACUAGCUGCCAUCUCCCGCAUAUCAUCAUCAGUCGUGCAACGUGACCCAUCUGCUCGUAACAAAGCCUUGACCGUGUUCUUCCUCUUCCUGUGAGUGGCUCGGUUUUGGAAGUAUUUCGUGUUCUGAUCUCUGGCCAUUAACCAAUCUACUCUGGAUUGUUGUUUGUAUAGCAACUCUUUCCGCUCGAACAUCUCACGUAGUUGUUCCUCCAAAUCCCGUAGCUCUCCUUGGCAACCUGAUGACAGUGCUCGAGUCUUAGCUGCCGCAUGUUGUGUUUUGAGAUUAGCAAUCUUGCGCCUCACAGACCCGAACACCUCUCUAGCCCAUCGUCGCAUGCUUCCCGUCAGCGUGCCAAUUUUGUCCCAUACCGCCGUCAGAGUCAGAUCUCCGUUUCCCGCCGCGUCCCAUGCUUCAGCGACCAUAUUGUCAUAUAGCUCGUGUCUCGUCCAAGCUUCCUCAAAAUGGAAUGGUCAGUCGCCUCCUCUAGCGGAGCGCGGAGCCGUCUCCAACGCUCUCACUAGGAUAGCCUGAUGAUCUGAUUCCUCGGUCAUAAUGUGUUCCACUAUAGGCUCCGGGUACAUCUGCAGGAAGCCAUCAUUGCAUGUGGCUCUAUCCAGGCGAACUUGGAUGUUUUCAAAACCAUCCCUCUUAUUAUCCCACUUGUAGGGAUAUCCAGAGAAGCCCAAAUCCGCCAGGCCGCAGUCGGCCAAGCAGUCCCUAAAAUCCUCCAUGCGUGUAAAACUCCUCAUAUUGCCCCCAGUUUGGUCUGUUUGGAAUAAUGCCUCAUUGAAGUCGCCCAAACUAACCCACGGGAGGUCAUUUUGCCUCCGUAAGAACCUGAUUGCAUCCCAUGAUUUCUUCCUCAUCUCCGUGUUCGGCUCCCCAUAGAAUCCAGUGACUCUUGAGGUUUUGCAAUCACAACUGAUCUCAGCAUCAAUAAAAUACUGGCACCAUGGUUUAACUAUGACUUGAAUAUCAUCUCGCUACCAGAGAGCCAGACCCCCACUCCUGCCCACACAAUCCACCGCCACACCAUUCUUGAACCCCAAACUCCAUUUAAGCCUAUCCAUUGCUCUUGCUUUUUUCUUUGUUUCACACAAGAAAACCACUGCUGGGUUGUGACACCUCACAAGGUCGCGUAGUUCGCCCACUGUCGAGUCCAACCCCAAGCCCCGACAGUUCCAGGCAAGCAGAUUCAUUGCUCCCGGCGGCCCCGGAGUUCGGGGUCCGCCGCUUCAUCAUGAGUCUCUGAGAUUCGAUCAAACACAGAAGCUCUCUUCUGCCUCGUAUCGCGAAUGAACUGAUCAGCCGGAACCUGCCUGUCAAUAUCGCCUUUAGGCACCCACAGCUGUCUGGGCCUUCUCUUCUUGUUUUCAUUUACUUCAUUGUCAUAAUGCUCCUGACGUGGCCCAUACACUGAAUUUUGCCUAGGCUUUUUCACGUACCUCCCCCUUUGUCUCCCAUGCAAGCCAUGCAUAUAGGGUUCCCCCAGUGGGUUGCCCCAGCCCGACCCGCUAUUCUGCCACCCAGCAGAAGAGGACUGAGCAGAGUCCUUUUCUCUUCUGUACCUCGCAUCUUCCUGAAGUUUUCCCCCGUGACGCCUCUCAUUCUGCUCCAUUAAUUUGUAACGGGGAUCUUUUUCCCUCCGUGCCUCCAAGCUCUCCCUUAAGUCUUUAUCCUUUGGGGUUGCAUUCUUUAACUUGCUCUUAUCAGGGCUGCAGACCUCAUUUGUCUCCUGCCUGUUCCGAUCGCCACUGCGUUCGUUGGCUGAACGGGAGAAGUCGGGAUUCAGGUUCCUCUUUGUGUGUACCCCUCUCGCCUUGGGAUGUUCAGUAUGCUUCGCAGGCACCUCCCCAUUAAAAGAGCCGCUCCUACUCUGAUUACUGCUUGUUGCACCACUUGCUGCCCCCCCUGUGUUGUUUCUUCCCGGGGACGCUCUAAGCCACCCCCCCCCCCAUUGUGAAGAUGAGUCAGAUGGUGGUACACAAAUCCCCCCUGCGUGAACCAGACGCCCGCAGUCGAAGCAAAAAUGAGGUACCUUCUCAUAAUGGAAAUCAAACCAAGUUUUCUCCUCAUCCUCUUCCGAUUUCUUCAGAAAAAAACCGCGGACUAGAGGCUCGAACACAGAUAUUUUAGCUCUCACCCUAAGUUGGCUUCCUCUUGCAAAACCUUCCUUGUCAACAUCCACUCUGACAAACUCUCCCAGCCAGUUACCCAAAGCCCUCCCAAACGUCUCCGUUCUUUUGUCUGGUGGAAGAUCAUUCACUCUAACCCAGAUGUGCACCUUGUCAAAAACCAUCUCAGAGGGUCAUUUGUCUCCCUCAUAAUCCUUCAUAACCAGCACUGCGAAAUCAAACUGCCAGGGGCCAUUGUUGAGCACAUGCUUCCAGUCGCCCUCGCUGCCAAAGUGCACCAUGAUGGUAUUGGGGCCGAUCUCAUUGAAUUUAGCCUCAUGGUGCAGUCCCCAAGCUCUAGGCAUCGUUUUCUCCAGCACUGACUUCUUCAUCGGUCUCGGUGAGCACACCCUUCCCACAGCUGACCACUUCCUGUACUUGUGGACUAUCGGAUCUGGAUCUUCAAAGACGAAACCUUCAACUUCCUUGUCCAUCAAAACCAUGCCUCCCAAACGCGCCGAGAGGCUCGCAGCCGGGUCCGGGGUUUUGCUCUCAACCGGAGAACGUGAGGAUUCUCCGCUAGCAGACCCAGCCGCCUUCCGUGCCGGCGUCGCCACCGAUAGAUGGGAUUGUUGUAGUUUUCCCCGGGGUCGCCGCCGCCUUCCCCUCUUUCUUCCCAUCUACCGUCCCCGCCAUUAGCAACGCCCCUUGACGCGAACGCAGACUAACCGGCCGAAGACCAGGGUGAGCGCCGUCGCUCCCUAGAGAUCGCCGGAAUACACCACCCCCGUCGGUCGGAACCCUAACCCUAGCGUGGAGAUGCAAUCGCCAGGCAAUCGCCCUCCGCCGCCUUAGCGUCCCUAAAAAACGUGGUGGACCCCGCCCCCACGUGUCCCAGGCCAAAAUACAACUACGGCGUGAUCUAUUUUAGUUUGCCUAACUUUAUUGUAAUGGGGAUGAAUCUAUUUUAUAAUGGGGUGCAUAAGCUACAUCUUUGCCCUACUAAAUAUGUUAUGUAUUUCAUGAUAUAUAUGGAAAUGAGGCCGGUAACUACGCUCCCUAAAUUGAAGGCACGCCAGCCAGGGAAAGUGCGUCAAAUCCUAAAGACUAGGAUAAGAAGAGGACGUGUACAGCUAUAUACGGUUUAACAAUAAGAAGAUAGUGCUAAGAAACUAUAGAUGCUUCAAUAUCGAUUGGUCUUAUUACAUUUUCCGUAGUUUCAGGGUUUUUAUAUCCAAAUUUCCCUACCGACGGAACUGAAAUUGUAGAAUCAUCAUAGAAAUUUAGGAGACAUUUGUUCUUUUAAUAUGCUGAAAUAUUUCAAACUUUCACCAUGUCCAAUUGCCUGGGAAUCUAUAAUAGAGAUCCAAAUAGGUUUCUUAUUCCUUGGAAGUUUGAAUCUACUCUACUAUACUAAUGUACUAACCAUUUUACGGAAAGGUGCAUGGCUGUGUAUAGAUUGCAAGCACAUGGAACAUCGCUUAUAGGUCCACGGAAGAUAGUAAAGUAGCAACAGCAAUUACUGGCGGACCAGUUUAUAUAAGAUUGUUCCUUUGUUUUUUAUGGAACGUGCAACGAUGAGAGAUGGUUUCUACUGCAAUCUGUAUGUUAUUUGGAUUGGAUUUAUCAACAUAUUCAGGAGAUUAGAGGGUACAUAUUAUUUAGGGUAGGGUUCACUGCGGUCUCUUUAUACAUUAUUUAGAUUGGAUCCAUGGAAGCUAUUUCAAUGAAUUUUGUUAUAUGUGAGUUCGCUGUGUUAGAGUCAUGGAAAUCUGAAACCUUAGUGUAUACCAAACUCUUACAUUAUGGCCAAUUGAUCCACUUUAUUUGGAUCCUUGAAAAAAGAAAAUUAACAUGUCUUGGUGCAUAUAUGUGGCGAUCAAUGUUCAUCGUCCUUCUCAAUUUUACCUUAAUUUUGUUGUGUAUCGACAUAUUUCGAUUGGAUCAAUGUUCAUCCCAAUGGUAUGCUCAUGUCUCAAGAUAUCUAAACUUGCUCUAUGAUGCACGAGCAAGUAAGAUCAGAAUUACAAGGAUAGGCUUCCUUGCAUUUUUUUAAGGUUUAGUACAUUUUGCUAGCAUCAGCUGUACAAUUUUGCUCCACUGGUCAUUCCAGAUAUCUUGGUUUCACUUAUAAUGCAUUGCUACAUUGACCUGGAGUGCAUUAAAGAAUUAAUUCAUAUAGUAUACAGAAAUUAACAGAAGAUCCAUCCAGUGAAUAGUGGCUCUAAGGAACAUGUAACUUAGAGGACAUCUACACUUUCAACACUACAUUCUACAAAUGCAAUAUACAAGUAUUAACAACUCGAAUGACUAUUUACUAAAGAAAAAAUAUUAAUGCUCCCUUCAAUUAAUAUUAAUUGUCGCUCAAACGAUUGUAUCUGGCACUGAAAUACGUCUAGAUACAUCAAUUUCAGUGACAAUAUAUAUGGACCAGUAGUAAAGAAAAUAUGCUACACAUUUUUUUUUCACAUAAUGUCUCGGGCUCUCAGCAACAAUUUGCAAAGGCCCUUUACCAGUUCAUCACGGGAACCAAUCCCGUGGGUAGCUCUACCAGAAUGAUGUAGACCAAAAGUGAAUGUACACUGUGUUUAAUCUUAUUAGAAAUGUAUCAGCAUGUGCUUCAUGUUCCCUAAUAUGUAUCACGCCUCGUGAAAAUAAAUGUCUCAUUUUCAAUUACUUCUAAGGAUGACUUCUUUAAUUGUCAUUACAACUUAUUCACACGGUUAUUUAACUUGAAUGUGAAAUUCACUCACACAACAGAAAAAAGGCAUCAUGUAUAAAGUAUAAACACAACGUAUCGACGGGGAAUUUACUUCUUUGUCAUCUUCAACUUUUUUAUAUAUUGUUAUGCCUCUCCUUAAUUGAUAGCGAAUAACUAUUUAUUACUCUUUUGUUUGGAUCAUAGUCUAUGUAGUCUCGACUUAUCGACGAACGCCAAACUAGUUUAGCACACGACAACACCAUCACGAGUGCACGGUGCUCCAAGCCUCCUCCCAUACUUAACUCCAUUGCUCUUUCCCGAUUGUUUUGGCUUGGCCUCGUGCAUGGCACUGAAGAUCUGCUCAGUCGUGCGUUGUGCCAGAACCAGCGGGCAACGGUGGCGAGUCACACUGCCCUGGGCGGGCGACGAUGUGCUGCUGCCGAUGGUAGGCAGGCCGGUCCUAUGUGUGGCUGCACCUGGUCAUGUUCUUGGUAUGGUGCGGGCUAGCAUGGUGUCGGAUGGUACUGUUGGUUGUCUUUCCACUCGUCUUAGCAGGUUGUUGUGGCGCGCUUCCAUAGUAGUACAAAGUUGGGUCACUUAUUUUGAGACGGAGGGAGUAGUUGCCAGUACCUCCGUGUGCAGAUGGCAGCUGUGGAGGUGGCUUCCUCUCUACGCCUUGUCUUGCUGUUAACCCUGGUGGGCGUUGUUCCAUUGGGUUGGCAAGCUCCAUGGAUGUUGUAUCCUCUAAUGCGGGAGUGUCGUGGCCCGAGGUGUGGCUGCUUCUUCCUCUUUAGCAUGUUGCUGCCACUAGUGGUGCCUUGGCUUUGGAUUCUUGGCUAAUGUUGCCUUUCGGCAGUGCUGGUGGACAGUACGGCCUUGGCCAUGAUGUCCCCUUUAGGUGCUCCCAUGGCACUUCACACAACAGUGAGUGCGUGUGUUUAUCACGCAAUUCGGGUGUGCACUCGGCUCCGUGACUAGGGAUGUAAAUGGUACAAAUAAUUUCCGUGCCGAUUUCGCUUCCUCAUCCGUUUUUAAGAAUAUGCACUUACACAAAUUCGGCGGAUAUGGAUGCGGAUACGGAUUUUGGUCAAUCAGAUAUCCGGCGGAUAUGGUAGAGGAUAUGGUGUUGGAAAUAUCCGAGGAUAUGGAUUCUUCGGUAAUUUUUGCGGAUUAUCCGAGGUUGUCAAACAGGAUUAUUCGAUAAAUUUAGCCCAUUUGAGAAGCCCAAAUGCCCACGUGGAUCACUAAAUAAAAUUACCAUGUACAAAUAGAAUUUAACCUAACCUUAGUACGAGAUGACCACAAUCACAAUUCACACGCAGCAAUAACCGUGGUCAUUUUAGUGUCGUCUUGUCUUGCGCCACCAGCAGCGGCUGCAUCUCUCCGGCAAGUCGGUUGUCCGGCACAAUGGGCAAAGAUGCCGGCGCCGGUCCAAGCAACGGAGGUGAGCACUCUGUUUGACCUUCCAUGUUCUUUUAGAUGCAAUGAAUCAUGUAAGUUUGGGGCGUCGAUGGUAGGUAGGUUGUUAUGCAUGAACGCAUCCACGCCAUGCAGAUGCAGCUUGCUCUACCUUCAGAGCAGGUCGUGGUGGUAGUCUGGUAGAUCACCGUGAGCUAAAUCGGUGCUAGUCGCGGCCAUGAUCUAGGGUACACCCAUACAUGACGAGGGGUAAUCCACAUAUAUGCCGGCGAUGUAGAGACGACGGUCUGCGUACAUAUACGCCGGCGGCGCAUUGAGACGGCAUAUACUGCAUACAACGGCGGUGCGACAGGACGGUGGUCUGCGUAUAUACACUAGGAAUACUUGGUAUGAACAAGUAUGAACACUGGUAGUGGUUCCUUCUUCCUUGCAUGCAGUCACGAUGCAUAUGUAACUACUCUAUUUUACUAUGUCUAUACUGGAGAGUAAUAUAUGUGUGGUGUCAUGCAACACUUUAUUUAUUAGUUUGUAGACUCAUCUUGUCUUCAUAUGUAUGAUGUUACUCAAACCAUCCCUCUUCUCAUUAAAUUAUUAUCACAUAAGGAAUUUUGCUAAGUUGGAUCUUAUGUUAGUGCUGAAGUUACUCCCACUAUGGGAAUAGACCACAAAACAGUAUGAAUUCAUGAUGUUUAAUGUCUUACUUGAUGUAGCUUCUACGAUAUAAAUUCCUUUGAUUUGCAAAAAGUUACUAGUUACUUAUAUAUGAUUAUUCUUUCUAUAGAUUGUCUCAACAAGGGCAAGUUCAGGUCAGAGUAUGAUCGUAUCACCCUCCAAUGUUUUUCGCACGUAUCAUCUGAUAUUUUUUGUCCGUUUCCGGUCCAAAUACAUAGUCUGAUAUAAUCCGCAUUCGGUCAUUAUCAGGUCCGCUUCGAGUCCGUAAAAAAUAUAUGGUAAAGGAUAUGGUAAAAGCAUUAUCCAAUCCAGUCCGAUCUGUUCACAUCCCUAUCCGUUGACUCCCUUUAAAUUUGUGAACUACAUCGUUGUUGUGUUGUAACCUCGGCAACAAGUGGCUCUUCAUCUUCAUAGGUGUUGUAGACUCGGUUGAGCUAAUAGCAUUGAGGUGUUAUGGUUUGGUCUCGGCUGAUUGGAGCUCUCCGUUGACGGUGGUGGUGCUUCUCGGGCAAUGUAGGUAUGUUGGUUUUGUCACGGUCUUUUCGGUGGUUGCUAGUGGUUUCAUGUGGUUGGUGCUUUCCGUGCAUUAUGGGCUAUGCGUUGCCUUCUGAUGGUGUCCUUGCAUUGUCUCAGCGGUGCGAUGGUUUCAUGGUUCCCUUCGUGACUUGCUUGUAGGGAUGCUCUCAGUUUCUCGUGUGCAUGUGUUGUGUCGUGUGUGGUUGUAUGCGCAGGUGUUUUUCAGUUGUCUCUUCUACUGUAAUUUUUCAUGUACACUGAUUCAUUUGAACCUAUCUUGUAUGAAGCCGUGAAGUUUCUUGGCAAAAUCGAAUGAGAACAUUCAGAUGGGAAUGGGAUUAGCUCCCCAUGACCAUUUAAAAUAACCAUUGAAAGGGACCACAUGAGCGGUCGCCCCUUCCUCCACUCACGCCAUCACACCCUCCUCGCCGGCAGCCCGUGCUUGCCUAAAGAGAAGCAGCCAGUGGACGCGUAAAGAAGGCUGUGAGGUUUGAAGGCCAGAGUGGGCUCCUCAAGCUGCAAUGCAAGAUCGAUCGACGAAGUUACCUAGUAGGCCGAGCUUCGGUUAGAAUUAAACAUGACUACCCGCGUGUCCAUUCCAUGCAUGUGUACAUGUCGGUUUCAAAAGCAAAUCAUCGAGUAGGACUAGUACUAGUUGGAUAGCUAGUAUAUAUACGUACUUACGUAUCCCCUUGUGAAAACCGUGAGUUGAAGCAACAAAGUAGUCCCUCCGUCCCAGAAUAUAAGACGUUUUUGGAUACUUCAUUAGUACCAAAAAACAUUUUACAUUAUGAGACGAAAGGAGUAAAAAACAGCAGGUACAAGGUAUAUCUGGAGCCCUGUGUUGGUGUGCGUGCGGGCGUUGUGUUCCUACUGGAGGCUGUUGCGCGUGUGUACAUGUGCGUGCUUUAUCAAUUCAACGCAAGAAUCGACCCGUCCUGCCGGGGAAGCUAGUUUAGGCCAAAGUCACCGCCAGAAGUCGUCAGUGUUUGCUUUCGUCGUUGCCGCCAGAAGUACCCAAAAAAGAACAAGUGCCCGGUAUUGCCACUUAACUACGUAGAACUAAAGUUAUUCACGCAUGCCAACUAAUUAAUGGAAUCGUGGUUCUGAUAUACAGUAUACUCCAUGAUUAGAGAGCACCAUACGCUUGGUUGCUAUGUAAUGUAGUCACCUGCCUGUAAUGCUCGAACUGCAUGCGCUUAGUUGAUAAGUUGUUCCUAAGUAGUUCAGUAUCAGGUUGCUUGGUGCUAGCUAAGCUUUUUUAUGCAGGUCCCCGCGCUAUGCCUCUGCGGAUGCACAAAAAAACCAAGCCUCCAGAACAUCAUUUCCUUGGAUCCCAGGUCCAGCAAAGCUAACUCUACCGGCAAAAUGAUACGGCACAAGCUGCUGGGCCAUGGCCAAUGGACUACAAGAUCAAACCAAAUAGAAGAACAGGAACAAGAUUAUCAUGCUUUUGGUUCCCUCUAAUAUUCCAGCGAACUAAAUGGAAAUAUCGAGCACUUCACUAACCAUUAAGUAGUCAUCUCUCCACUAAAGUCUGAAUUGAGAAAAAGGGUUUUCCCCCGCUUUGUAUUACAAAGCAACCAUCCGAUACAACCAACGAUAGGUGCUGGGGCGGAAGCAGCACAAGUACGCCCAAAGAAAAAGAAAAAGAAAAAGAAAAAGAAACAAAUUCCGACAAUGGCAGGUCGACGAAACAAAGAUGACCAGUGACCGCUGCACCCACCGGAGAAGUACCACCGCGCUUCUAGCACUUCGAGGCGUCGCGUACCGAGCAGCACCUUCAGGAAGGAAUGCGACGACGACGCCGCUGCUGCCCGGACAAGUCUAAGGGUUUCCCCCGGUACGUAGAGGGCAGUGGGGAAGGGGCAGAUCAGACGCCCUUCAGGAAGGUCCGGCGGCGCCCGCAGGCGUCACCGCGUCGGUGAUGGAUGCGCCACCAGGGAUUUCUCCGAACCCAAACAAUCAUCACCACCCCGGACGAUCGGAGGUGCUCCACCAGAACAGCCGCCCACCAAAUUGUGCCACCACAGUCACUGAACCAUCAACACUGUCUCGCUGAGCCACCGACACGAGACCUGGAGGAGGGACGAGGGGCCAAUGGGCUCGGGGGCAGCCGAAACUCAGCCGAUGGGAGGGGACUACCACCACCGCCGAUGCGGAGCCGACCGGACGUGACAACAAGAGCUUACCACGCCCGCACAUGCCCGGCCAGACCCCAAAUGAUCCGGACAACCUCUGCCGCCACGCUACAACACAUCGGCCGACGAAGCCGCCGCCACCCGCAUCCCUCGACGCCGCGCCACCGUUAAAGUUGCAUGCAGAUAUCACUGGGUCUUGUGUAUCAUUAAAGUUGACGCCGGAACAGUUGAAAUACUGGACUCACUACUCAAAGAAAAAACUGACUAUAACAUAUUGUUUGGGAUAGUCAACAGGUAAUUUCAAUCAUUAUUAACUAUAUAUCUCGGCCUAUUUAGUUCGUCAUUUCAAGAUAUGAACUAUUUAGUAACCCCUUUAUUCAUUUUCUUUUUCGGCGGGUAGAGCUUGGGCAAGGUUCAUCAGGGUCACGGACGGCGAAUGGAAAGAAAAGCUUAAAUGGGGAAGACCCAAGGUAAGUAAUUAAGUAGUACUAGCUAGCUAGCUAGCUGCCAUCUCUUUAAUUAUCAUGCUUGAUUAAUUAUUAUCUGAUCAAAUUCCAUUCCCGUAAAGGCCCUAAAGCAGGUGCAGGGGACUGAUCUGUGUGCAUUCUGCGUUUGCGAGAACAUUCGCAUGAUGGCGUCCGAAAGGAGCAGAUCUCAAAGACAAGAAUGGGUACGCUUGUCAAAACACUAUUCACAAUUUUUACACCAUUAUCGAUAUCUAGUCACACAACUAAUACACAUGCAUAUUGAUCUCCUUCUUAACAGUUCAGAGAGGUGCGGGCGAAGCUCCUAGAAACGGAGCGCGUAGAAGCACUUCAAGAGGAAAUAGCGGGAUUUUUGCUCGACCAGGUCAUAAAUCCGAAGGGAGAAUACUAUUACCCGCUACCGCCCCCAUGAAAACCACUUCCAAUUGUCAUCGUGCUCCGAAGGCACCAAUUAGGCUAUAAUGCCACUGGCUCCGAAGGCGACAUGCAUAUGUAGGAGAAAUUGUAUAUAGCUAUACAUGUGUGUAUGUGUGAAUUAAUUAAUAUGAUGAUUUGUGAGACAUUGAUGAUAUAUAUAUGCAUGAUUGGUUCUA